UGUAUAUAAAAAUAUGAGUGUC
rnacentral:siRNA from 1 species